UUUUUCCUUUUUCUUUUUCCUUUUUCUUUCUUUUCCCUAUUUCCUUCUUCCUCCCCGUGCGUCCUUCCCCUUCUCCCCAGCCGCAACCGCCGCGCCUCUUCUCCUUCCUCCCGUACGCCGCGACGACUCCACCGUCUCCUUCUCCCUUCCCUUCCGUUUCCUUCCCGCCGCAGCCCAGCCGCAACCAGUCGUCUUUCUCUUCCGUUUUCUUUCCGUCGCAGCCCAGCCGUAGCCCGCGAUCUGCCGUCUCCAUCUCCGGCUCGCGAAGCAACCUUGCAGCAGUCAUCCCGCAUGCCGAUCUGCCGUCUCCAUCGCCGGUUCUGUCUUCGUCGAAGCCCGAGCCGCCGUGUGAACCAGUAACCGCCACGUUCGCCGCUCACAACCGCCGUAAAGCCAGCCGCGCAACCUUCGUUCCAACCGCUGCACUGCCGCGCGAUUCUCCGGCCACGUCUUCUUUAGCCGACCGCUGACCGACCCACACUUAGGAUUUUGCUGCGAGUUCGACAGUCGUGCGUUGAGUGUUGGGAGUAACCUUGGGCUCCCUUAAAUUCACAACCAAAUUGUGAAUUGUUGAGGGUUCAGUUCGCCAAUAUUUCGGAUUUGAUUCAUUGGAUUUAGUCGAUUGAAGAAUUUGCAUAGAAAUCGAGAAGUGAAUUGUGAGUUUACUGAAUUUGGUAAAUUUAGAAGCAUUCCUCUGUGCAUCCUCUAGUAGAUUUUGGAUUUUCCUCUUCCACUGUAAUGGAAUUGGACCGAGAAAAGUUAAUGUGUUCCAGUUAUUUUACGGUGCUGGCACUUACAUGUUUGGAAUUGAUGAUGAACGAAUAAUUGAUGCUACAAGGGCUGGAAGCAUUGCUCAUCUGAUCAACCACUCUUUCGAAUAACUGUUGCUCCUCACAGAAGUGUUCAAGGAUAAAUAAAGGUUCAUAUUAGAAGUGGACGUCCAUUAGUUUUGGGGAUAGACUUUAGUUUUGGUAUCUCCAAUUGAGAAUUUAGCCAUUGUGCUUACUCUUUAUGGAGUAUCUAAAGACAAGAAAUCGACACUCCAAUGCUAUGAAAAUUUUCCUAUAAGCUGAUGAUAUGUGGGGAAGAUAUUCAUAGUUCAUCUUUAUUGGCGAUGAUUGCAUAAUACAAACUGUUUAACUCUAAGGAUUACAAAUUGUCGUACAUGUAUUGUCGUAGGCUGUUUUGUUCUAAGGACUAGGAACAACCCAAGAAGUUGUUCAAUUUGCAGUGGCCAUUUGAUUUUAAAGAGUUGAAGAUAACAAUCGAUGAGACAUUGAGCUUUGAGUUAUGUGAGAGUUCUUUUUUAACUGAGUUUAAUAGGUAACUGCUUAGAUUCUUCUGCUAAAGUUCAAAAUGUCCACACCUCCCAAGGAAUAACUCACGGUUUCUUAGGAAGAGUUCGAUAUAUAUGUGACUGGCUCAUGAAAUUAUGGUAUUUGGUGCCAUACUGCAUUGGGAUAUGAAUCUUCUUGCAAUCAAAUAACUACAGAAGGUUCAACUGGAGUCGACAAGUUCAUGAGUUUUGUUUCAAAUAUCAUUUCCAGAAACGAACAUUCUCGGUUGGUCCAGUCAAAUAUAUUCGAAUGCUAUUUAAGAUAUUUUUUGUAUUUCGUACAUGUGGAUUACUGAAACUUGUAUUAAGAUGUACAAAUAUUAUAAAUCGUAUUAUAGUGUAUAUAUAUUAAAGUGUUGGCUAUUUUCUUGUACAUUGGUGUGAAACUUGUAUAAUUUCAAAUUUGUCAUUCUCAGCUA